rnacentral:rRNA from 1 species
CUACGGGUGGCUGCAGUGGGGAAUAUUGCACAAUGGGCGCAAGCCUGAUGCAGCAACGCCGCGUGAGGGAUGAAGGCCUUCGGGUUGUAAACCUCUUUUAGCAGGGAAGAAGCGAAAGUGACGGUACCUGCAGAAAAAGCACCGGCUAACUACGUGCCAGCAGCCGCGGUAAUACGUAGGGUGCAAGCGUUGUCCGGAAUUAUUGGGCGUAAAGAGCUCGUAGGCGGUUUGUCACGUCUGCUGUGAAAAUCCAAGGCUCAACCUUGGACUUGCAGUGGGUACGGGCAGGCUAGAGUGCGGUAGGGGGGAUGGGAAUUCCUGGUGUAGCGGUGGAAUGCGCAGAUAUCAGGAGGAACACCAAUGGCGAAGGCACAUCUCUGGGCCGUAACUGACGCUGAGGAGCGAAAGCGUGGGGAGCGAACAGGAUUAGAUACCCGCGUAGUC